UAGGGAAUCUUCCGCAAUGGGCGAAAGCUUGACGGAGCAACGCCGCGUGAGUGAUGAAGGUCUUCGGAUCGUAAAACUCUGUUAUUAGGGAAGAACAAAUGUGUAAGUAACUAUGCACGUCUUGACGGUACCUAAUCAGAAAGCCACGGCUAACUACGUGCCAGCAGCCGCGGUAAUACGUAGGUGGCAAGCGUUAUCCGGAAUUAUUGGGCGUAAAGCGCGCGUAGGCGGUUUUUUAAGUCUGAUGUGAAAGCCCACGGCUCAACCGUGGAGGGUCAUUGGAAACUGGAAAACUUGAGUGCAGAAGAGGAAAGUGGAAUUCCAUGUGUAGCGGUGAAAUGCGCAGAGAUAUGGAGGAACACCAGUAGCGAAGGCGACUUUCUGGUCUGUAACUGACGCUGAUGUGCGAAAGCGUGGGGAUCAAACAGG
rnacentral:rRNA from 1 species